AUUGAACGCUGGCGGCAUGCUUUACACAUGCAAGUCGAACGGCAGCGCGGGCUUCGGCCUGGCGGCGAGUGGCGAACGGGCGAGUAAUGCAUCGGAACGUGCCCGGUAGUGGGGGAUAGCCCGGCGAAAGCCGGAUUAAUACCGCAUACGACCAGAGGGUGAAAGCGGGGGACCGAAAGGCCACGCGCUAUUGGAGCGGCCGAUGUCGGAUUAGCUAGUUGGUGGGGUAAAGGCUUACCAAGGCGACGAUCCGUAGCUGGUCUGAGAGGACGACCAGCCACACUGGGACUGAGACACGGCCCAGACUCCUACGGGAGGCAGCAGUGGGGAAUUUUGGACAAUGGGGGCAACCCUGAUCCAGCCAUGCCGCGUGCGGGAAGAAGGCCUUCGGGUUGUAAACCGCUUUUGUUCGGGAAGAAAUCCUCUGGGCUAAUACCCCGGGGGGAUGACGGUACCGGAAGAAUAAGCACCGGCUAACUACGUG
rnacentral:rRNA from 1 species